UAAAGAUUCAUCGCUGAUAGAUAGGCAUGCGUUCCAUUAGGCAGUUGGCGGGGUAACGGCCCACCAAACCGACGAUGGAUAGGGGUUCUGAGAGGAAGGUCCCCCACAUUGGUACUGAGACACGGACCAAACUCCUACGGGAGGCAGCAGUGAGGAAUAUUGGUCAAUGGGCGUAAGCCUGAACCAGCCAAGUCGCGUGAGGGAUGAAGGUUCUAUGGAUCGCAAACCUCUUUUAUAAGGGAAUAAAGUGUGGGACGUGUCCUAUUUUGUAUGUACCUUAUGAAUAAGGAUCGGCUAACUCCGUGCCAGCAGCCGCGGUAAUACGGAGGAUCCGAGCGUUAUCCGGAUUUAUUGGGUUUAAAGGGUGCGUAGGCGGCCUUUUAAGUCAGCGGUGAAAGUCUGUGGCUCAACCAUAGAAUUGCCGUUGAAACUGGGGGGCUUGAGUAUGUUUGAGGCAGGCGGAAUGCGUGGUGUAGCGGUGAAAUGCUUAGAUAUCACGCAGAACCCCGAUUGCGAAGGCAGCCUGCCAAGCCAUGACUGACGCUGAUGCACGAAAGCGUGGGGAUCAAACAGGAUUAGAUACCCUGGUAGUCCACGCAGUAAACGAUGAUCACUAGCUGUUUGCGAUACAGUGUAA
rnacentral:rRNA from 1 species